CUUUUUAUUUUAAUUUGACUCUAAUUACUCGUUGUAUUGUGUGUGCAGGCAGGCAUGUGUGUGCAGGCAUCCAUGCCACACGAUGUGGAUGGAGAGCAAAGGACAACUUGCAGGAGUUGGAUCCAACCAGUUCCCAAGUCACUGAACUUCAUGGCAAGGUUCUUCCCAGAGCAACCAGUUCCCCAGUUCUUGGUGGUGUGGGCACAGUGUAAGCCAAGCCUGCUAUGUCAGGGCGUGGUCAAGGUUACAAAGCUCCUUCAUUAUGGUGGGAACUGAUAAGCAUCCUACAGAGUAACUCAUGUCUGCCCCUGCCUGCCAGUCCUCCAUGUGGAAGGGCUUCUAUCCAACAAGACUGCUCCAGGUCAAGAUGCUGGUCUCCAGCCCAGGCGUCUCAGACUUCUAGACAACCAGCAAUGUCAAUCAAGAACACCACAAGGCCCUCUUGGACUUUGGUCAUUUGCCGGGCUGGCUCCCGGGGCUCCUGGCUGUCCCUGGGGUUCCAGGCUGUCCCUGGGGGUUCCAGGCUGGCUCCAGGGGCUCCAGUCUGGCUCUGAGGGCUCCAGGGGCUCCAGGUUGGCUCUGAGGGCUCCAGGGGCUGCAAGCUGGCUCUGAGGGCCCCAAGCUGGCCCUGAGGGUUCAGAUGAAGCACCUUGCCCACAUUUGCUGGUUCAUUAUAAAGUAUCCAACAGUGAUGGUGGGGACUGGAGAGAUGCCUCAGAAGUUAAGAGCACUGGCUGCUUUCCAGAGGUCCUGUGUUCAAUUCCCAGCAACCACAUGGUGGCUCACAGCCAUCCCUAGUCGGAUCUAAUGCCCUCUUCUGGCCUGCAGGCAUAUGUGCACAUGGAACACUAG
rnacentral:lncRNA from 1 species